rnacentral:tRNA from 1 species
AGCUAGAUGGCUGAGUCAAUAGGCAAUAAAUUGUAAAUUUAUGGACGGAUAAAUUAAUUCCUCUAGUUA